UGCACCUUCGGCUCACGCGGGAGACCUCAUCGCUGCCAGCGAUGAGGUCAGGGGUUCGAUCCCCCUAGGCUCCAUC
rnacentral:tRNA from 1 species